rnacentral:rRNA from 1 species
GACGAACGCUGGCGGCGUGCUUAACACACGCUAGUCGAACGGAGUGGCGAACGGGUGAGUAACACGUGGGUGAUCUGCCUUGCACUUCGGGAUAAGCUUGGGAAACUGGGUCUAAUACCGGAUAGUGCAAGAUGACCGCGCGGCCUAUCAGCUUGUUGGUGGGGUAAUGGCCUACCAAGGCGUCGACGGGUAACCGGCCUGAGAGGGUGUACGGCCACAUUGGGACUGAGAUACGGACCAGACUCCUACGGGAGGCACCAGUGGAGAAUAGUGCACAAUGGGCGGAAGCCUGAUGCAGCGACGCCGCGUGGGGGAUGAAGGCCUUCGGGUUGUAAACUCCUUUCGACAGGGACGCGGUACCUGUAUAAGAAGCACCGGCUAACUACGUGCCAGCAGCCGCGGUAAUUC